ensembl:lncRNA
GGAGGCUAUAUACAGGGGCUACCGGUACAGAGUCAAUGUGGAGGUUAUAUACAGGUGCUACCGGUACAGAGUCAAUGUGGAGGUUAUAUACAGGUGCUACCGGUACAGAGUCAAUGUGGAGGUUAUAUACAGGGGGUACCGGUACAGAGUCAAUGUGGAGGCUAUAUACAGGUGCUACCGGUACAGAGUCAAUGUGGAGGCUAUAUACAGGGGGUACCGGUACAGAGUCAAUGUGGAGACUAUAUACAGGGGGUACUGGUAAAGAGUCAAUGUGGAGGCUAUAUACAGGGGGUACAGGUACAGAGUCAAUGUGGAGGCUAUAUACAGGGGUACUGGUACAGAGUCAAUGUGGAGGCUAUAUACAGGGGUACCGGUACAGAGUCAAUGUGGAGGCUAUAUACAGGGGUACUGGUACAGAGUCAAUGUGGAGGCUAUAUACAGGGGUACUGGUACAGAGUCAAUGUGGAGGCUAUAUACAGGGGGUACCGGUACAGAGUCAAUGUGGAGGCUAUAUACAGGGGGUACCGGUACAGAGUCAAUGUGGAGGCUAUAUACAGGGGGUACCGGUACAGAGUCAAUGUGGAGGCUAUAUACAGUGG